rnacentral:rRNA from 1 species
UAUUGGGCGUAAAGAGCGCGUAGGCGGCCUUUCAAGUCAGAUGUGAAAUGCCCGUGGCUUAACCAUGGAAGUGCAUUUGAUACUGGGAGGCUUGAGUAUGGGAGAGGGAAACGGAAUUCCUGGUGUAGCGGUGAAAUGCGUAGAUAUCAGGAGGAACACCGGUGGCGAAGGCGGUUUCCUGGACCAAUACUGACGCUGAGGCGCGAAGGCGUGGGGAGCAAACAGGAUUAGAUACCCUGGUAGUCCACGCAGUAAACGGUGAUCACUAGGUGUGGCGGGUAUUGACCCCUGCUGUGCCGAAGCAAACGCAUUAAGUGAUCCGCCUGGGGAGUACGAUCGCAAGAUUAAAACUCAAAGAAAUUGACGG